rnacentral:rRNA from 1 species
AGCGAACGCUGGCGGCAGGCUUAACACAUGCAAGUCGAACGCCCCGCAAGGGGAGUGGCAGACGGGUGAGUAACACGUGGGAACGUACCCUUUGGUUCGGAAUAACUUGGGGAAACUCAAGCUAAUACCGGAUAAGCCCUUAUGGGGAAAGGUUUACUGCCGAAGGAUCGGCCCGCGUCUGAUUAGCUAGUUGGUGAGGUAAUGGCUCACCAAGGCGACGAUCAGUAGCUGGUCUGAGAGGAUGAGCAGCCACACUGGGACUGAGACACGGCCCAGACUCCUACGGGAGGCAGCAGUGGGGAAUAUUGGACAAUGGGGGCAACCCCGAUCCAGCCAUGCCGCGUGAGUGAUGAAGGCCUUAGGGUUGUAAAGCUCUUUUACCCGGGACGAUAAUGACUGUACCGGGAGAAUAAGCCCCGGCUAACUUCGUGCCAGCAGCCGCAGUAA